GGUGUUAGUUCAUUAGAAAAUAAUUUUUAGCUUGUUUGGCUUUUGUUGGUUUAAUUAAUAUAUGUAAAUUUAUGUCAGAUUUCUCUACUAUGUGGAAGUGAAUUCCUUAAGUUCCACGAGUUUGUGAUUGUAUACAAACAAUUGAGGCGGUAGUACACAUACGACAUUGUCUUCGCUUGUUGUAUAUACUCUAACCAUUCUCUGUAGUUUUAGCUUAUUUUUUGUGGUUGGUAUAAUGAUUGUGAAUUUUAUUGGAUUUCUAAUUGUGAUAUAAUUGAUUGAAAUUGCAAUAAUAUUUGCAUCAUAGUGCAUGACCCAAGGUUUAGUGACUUGUUAUUUUAGGAACCGGGCAAUGGAUUAUGCUAUAAUACCAUUAAUUAGAAUGUGUUGGGUCUAUUGGAUUUGCAGUACUUAAUUGACUGUCUAUGAUUGUUAAUUGUAUUUAGGCCCUUGUAAGUUGCAACUAUGUUUCCAUUCAUGAAUCCUGAUUGUAUCCUCGGAUUUGAGGUGAGUUGAAUUUAGCUAUUUGCUGGGCAUUAGGAUCCUCUUUCACCUGUUGUUUUAUGUAUAAAUAAAUAUUGGAUUCUUAUAAUUAAUAACUUGUCUUUACAGGGAUGAUGAUAUGCUUAAGAAGCUUGGAGACCUUGUGAAUGAGAGUCAUUAUAGCCGCAGUGUUCUCUAUGAACGCAGGAUUUUUCAAGAUCUACACCGUAUAAAGAGGAGUAGAUAAACGAGGUUCAAGAUAUUUGGGCAGACUAUUUUAUAUGCUAUGUUGAACUUUAGAUCUACACUUAGCAAACUCCAUUUACUUAUUAGACUCUUGUUUUAUUUAUUAGGCUUGACAUGAAUGUAUUUGGUUUACCAACAAUUUGGGUUGGUAUUGGUGAUUGUAUUGGAUGAUGACCAUAAUGUCAAUGAUAUUGAGUUGUAAAUUUAUUGGACAGGUUUAUAAUAUGCCGCCGUCAUUCCCAAUUUUAUGGGUAGGCCAAAAUACAAAGGAGACUCUGCCGAAA